rnacentral:rRNA from 1 species
AAUAGAUACCCUGGUAGUCCACGCCGUAAACGUUGGGCGCUAGAUGUGGGGACCUUUCCACGGUUUCCGUGUCGUAGCUAACGCAUUAAGCGCCCCGCCUGGGGAGUACGGCCGCAAGGCUAAAACUCAAAGGAAUUGACGGGGGCCCGCACAAGCGGCGGAGCAUGCGGAUUAAUUCGAUGCAACGCGAAGAACCUUACCAAGGCUUGACAUACACGAGAACGGGCCAGAAAUGGUCNACUCUUUGGACACUCGUGAACAGGUGGUGCAUGGUCGUCGUCAGCUCGUGUCGUGAGAUGUUGGGUUAAGUCCCGCAACGAGCGCAACCCUCGUCGCAUGUUGCCAGCACGUUAUGGUGGGGUACUCAUGUGAGACUGCCGGGGUCAACUCGGAGGAAGGUGGGGAUGACGUCAAAUCAUCAUCGCCCCUUAUGUCUUGGGCUUCACGCAUGCUACAAUGGCCGGUACAAAGGGCUGCGAUGUCGUAAGGCGGAGCGAAUCCCGAAAAAGCCGGUCUCAGUUCGGA